AUUGGAGAUUGGUUGCUUUCUAAAACUGAAGGAGAAGCCCAUGAAGAGAUGGUGGAUUCUCACUGAGUUUUGACUAGCGGAAGAAAAGAGAGAGUUCAAGUGGAUGGCCUUGAGGACUUGAAAAGCUGAGAUAUGAUGAUUUUGAAGUCAUUUCACAUCGAAGCCAUGAUUUAAAUAUCGGCGUUAAGGUAAGUAUUGAGGAAAGAAAUAUGACACUUUUGUGGUUAACACAUUAUUGGCUUUGCUUGCACUGUUAGAAGAGAUUAAAGCACAUUGUGAAGGGUGAU
rnacentral:lncRNA from 1 species